AACUGCCUCACAACAUCUCUCACACUGAUGUAAGGAAACAUUUAUUGGCAGCAGCGGUUCUCAACUGGUGCAGAUAACAAAGUUAAAGAAACCCAAACGGCCCAGAGGCUGUGGUAGACCACGCUCCUCACAGGUUCAGGAGUUCACAGCGGGGUCUGUAGGAAGAGGAACAGGCCGUCUGCCAGUCCUGGCAUGUGCGGCUCUAAUUGCACAUCAUUGGCAUAAUGGCCAAGAUGAUGUGGCUUUCCUCUGCAUGCACACACAUCACCUGCAGGAAAAUGCCCUUUAGAAUAAACGCAUCCUUUAUGCUGCUAUUUGAAGAUUGCUUUCCUGAGAGAUUCCUUUCCAGCGCAAUUCUCCAGAAAUGUAGCUCCUUCACCCCGUUUACACAUAACAAGAAAUUUCCAUUGCUCAGCGAGGGAUUCACAGCCAGCUAACAUGAGGAAAUGAAAUAUUUAUCAUCAGCGAACACCUACCAGGAACAGAGAGCGGACGGGCAAAGGCUCAUCUCUAGACCCUGUGGCAGUACGUCUCCUCUGGGGCAGAUAGAUGGGCCGUGUUCCUGCUGGGAUCCACUUCCACUUUUGAGUCUGGAUUUCAAAGCCUCCGAUAACUGCAAAGGAAAGGUUCUGAUGUCCCCAGGAAGAAAAAUAGAACGAGACGCAGGGGUCAGCUCAGUGGUUCUGGUGUCGAGUCAAUUACCGUCUUGACCGAACGGAUGAUCAACACCUCACAUCAGCCAGCAUCCAGCUCAUGGGUUCUAGAGCCAUGUGCUGUGACCCAUAUCCAGCCAUGCAUUGCCAAUUUUUUAUUGCAUGCAGGGAUUUAGCAAUUCUAAAACUUUAAUGAUUAUUGUAGUACGUUUGAAGGAGUCAUUGUUCCUAAUUAUAGAUAUAUAGACUAUAUAAAAAAAGUAUAGGGUUGGAAAUUAUCUUGUUUUUGAAUUAAAAAGUAUCUUCUGUAAACAGCAAAAACAGUAAUAUUGUGAAAUAUUAUUACUAUUUAAAAUAACAGUUUUCUGUUUAAAUAUGUUUUAAAAUGUAAUUUAUUCCUGUGAUGUAAUACUGAAUUUUUAGCAUGACUACUCCAGUCUCCAGUGUCACGUGAUCCUUCAGAAAUCAAUUCAAUAUGCUGUUAUU